UGUGUUGGGGGAGGGGGGGGGGGGGGCAGCUGCAAUGGAAGUGAGGUCUGUGUGUGUGUGUGUGUGUGUGUGUGUGUGUGUGUGUGUUUUGCUGCAGCUGGUAUGACAGACAGUUUACUGAACACUUGAGAGCAACAAAGUAAGAUACACUAAGAACCUAACAUAGUUUCUUUCAGUUUUGUUCUGCAUAUUGAUGAGUUUCAUGCAUUAUGUAGCAAGGUUAUGCAACAUGAUGUGCUGCGUCAACAUUUAUGUAGAACUGCAUUGGCAGUUAAUUUCCACUCAUUGCAUGGAAUCUGCUGAAACAUUUUUUUUUUAUAAUUUGUAACAAAAGUAAUUUUGAAUCAUGGUAUAAAUAUGUUCCACAGAUUUCAUUUAGGACUCGCUUCGUAGUUCAUUUAAGUAACAACAAAUAGUACCUUAACUUAUAAGCUUUGAAUGUCUCAGGAUCUGAACAUACAUGAUAUACUGUAUAAAAUCGGCUGUAUAGGGACUAAAUAUUCAUACUGUUAACCUAUGUCUAUAAAUAACGUAUCUUCCUUUUUUUUUUCCAUACUGCUCAGUCAAACAGAAAGCACGAAAGCUAACCAACCCCUCAGAUUAAUGACAAGUGGCACAUGAACAACUUUAAUAGGUCAGAAAACUGCAUAAGCUUUUGAUCCUUUGCCCUUCUUAUCACACACACACACACACACAUCACACUUUGAAGCUCACAUGGCUGCAGAGUUGUAAAUUUGUGUUUCUCUCUGUUUGAACUAGUGUGUGAAGAGCACAUUGUUAUUAGAAACAGUACAAAAGCUUGUCGUGUUUUCCUCCAGUUAAUAAGAGUGUGUGGGCCACUUUCCAUUCAUCUGCAGGUUAGUGGUUGCCUUUCCUCCUUUUUUUCCUGGAAUUUUCAGAUUCAUAAUUUGCUGUUAAUAUUUGCAAAGAGCCAAAAAGUAAAUUUGCUUGAAAGUCUGUUGAUAACAUAAUACUUAAUUUGAUGUUUCAAUUGCGACUUAAAUCUUAUCCAUUACGAUAGGAAUGACCAUGACUGUUGUAAUUCAGAUGAAUAUAAGUAAGGAUUCUGCAUUCAGGCACAAAAAACUUAAUUUAAAUUAUUCUCUAGCAUCCUUAAGUGUUGUCCUUUUUUACAAAAUUAUGUCAUACCAUGUUCUAUUUUUGGAGCUGUUUGGUGUUGCUACACUGGUAAUAAAUGCCUCUAUCCAUUA